GGGUUUUCAUCUACCCCAGGGCCAGGAGUUUUUUUUUCUCAGUUUAAAACUGUGUGACCUGAUUACGAAACACUGGUCCCAUCAUAGCCCUUAUAAAACCUUUUUACAACUGAUUAAUCACUGUCAUACCUUAUAUGGUCCAGAGUUUUCCUUGUUAGGUUAACAGAUGAGGAAAAACUCCGGGCCCCAGAGGAUAAAAAUUGCCCCCUGCUCUGGGACCUAUGGUGCCACCAGUCUGCUUGUAGAUGUCAGUCACAGGGGCCCCAAAAGUCUCUGUUCUCUUGCAUGGCUUGUGUUCCCCCGGAUCCCCCUCAAGGUUAAUUCUCCUCCGCCAGCAGCACGAGAGGAGCGGGAGACUGACAGCAUUUAUCUGCUAAAUAAUAUGUUGGUCAGCCAAAAGGGAAGUUGGAUGAAGGUUAUGGAAAGACUCAUGUGAUCGGAUAGACUGGAUAAAUCUACUUCGGGAACUGAUGGACCCUAACGUUGAAGUACUCAAACCUGAGUCUGUGGUUGUCACGACUUCCGCCAAAGUCGGCUCCUCUCCUUGUUCGGGCGGCGUUCGGUGAUCGAUGUCACUGGCUUUUUUUUGUUUUGUCUUGUUCCAUACACACCUGGUUUUCAUUCCCUAAUCACACUGCAUGUAUUUAUGUUAUGUGGGUAUUCUUACGCGCCAUACUUUUUGUCUGUUCCGUGUUUGGGUACAUUUAUGUACUUUUGUGCUUUCGUUGGACCGGAAUAAAAAGUGUGCCUGUUCACUACACUCUGCU